rnacentral:rRNA from 1 species
GGAGGAUCCAAGCGUUAUCCGGAAUUACUGGGCGUAAAGAGUUGCGUAGGUGGCAGAGUAAGCAAGUAGUGAAAGCCUGGGGCUCAACCCCUUACACAUUACUUGAACUGCUCAGCUUGAGGACAAGAGAGGUUAUUGGAAUUCCUAGUGUAGGAGUGAAAUCCGUAGAUAUUAGGAGGAACACCGAUGGCGUAGGCAGAUAACUGGCUUGUUCCUGACACUAAGGCACGAAAGCGUGGGUAGCAAACGGGAUUAGAUACCCCGGUAGUCCACGCCGUAAACGAUGGAUGCUAGCUGUUAGAAGUAUCGACCCUUCUAGUAGCGAAGCUAACGCGUUAAGCAUCCCGCCUGUGGAGUACGGUCGCAAGA